GCCCGGGUGGUGGAAUUGGUCAGACACUCCUCACUUAAAAUGAGGCGCUCCCACGGGAGCAUGUGGGUUCGAAUCCCACCCCGGGCA
rnacentral:tRNA from 1 species